rnacentral:ncRNA from 1 species
GCACUCUGGAGACGCCCGCGCUGCGGGGGCCGAAGGUGAAAGCCAGGCACAGGGGUGUCGGGUGAAUCUCUCAGGCAAAAGGACAGAGCGU